UUCCUGAUGGUUAAUCAGGAUCUCCUUUUUUGUAACUUGAAUUCAUUGGUUCAGGCCCUACCCUCCGGAGCAGGAGAAAACAAGCUUGCUCCAUCUUCCAUGUGACAGCCCUUCAGAUAUUUGAAGAUGGCUAUCAUAUGUCCUCUUGGUCUCCUCUUUUCCAGGCUAAACAUACCCAGAUCCUUCAAC